rnacentral:misc_RNA from 1 species
AAGUCGUAACAAGGUUUCCGUAGGUGAACCUGCGGAAGGAUCAUUAUUGUAUUCUUAAAUCGGCAUUUCGGUGCCUCCCAUUUACUUCAAACUUUAACGUCUGAAUCUUUUGUUGUUCUUCUGAACUCCAAUAUGAAUUUUAUUAAACAACUUUUAACAACGGAUCUCUUGGCUCUC